GUGGGGAAUAUUGGACAAUGGGCGAAAGCCUGAUCCAGCCAUGCCGCGUGUGUGAAGAAGGCCUUUUGGUUGUAAAGCACUUUAAGCGAGGAGGAGGCUACCGAGAUUAAUACUCUUGGAUAGUGGACGUUACUCGCAGAAUAAGCACCGGCUAACUCUGUGCCAGCAGCCGCGGUAAUACAGAGGGUGCAAGCGUUAAUCGGAUUUACUGGGCGUAAAGCGCGCGUAGGUGGCCAAUUAAGUCAAAUGUGAAAUCCCCGAGCUUAACUUGGGAAUUGCAUUCGAUACUGGUUGGCUAGAGUAUGGGAGAGGAUGGUAGAAUUCCAGGUGUAGCGGUGAAAUGCGUAGAGAUCUGGAGGAAUACCGAUGGCGAAGGCAGCCAUCUGGCCUAAUACUGACACUGAGGUGCGAAAGCAUGGGGAGCAAACAGGAUUAGAAACCCCGGUAGUCC
rnacentral:rRNA from 1 species